UAUUUUGUGUUUUCACAAACCUCAUAGGCUACAAGAAGAUAGCAGCUACACAACAGCUAAACAUACCAUAGCACACAAGCUAAACAUGAAGGCUGCGAAUCUUUUGGCACCACACGAUUUGAUUCCAUUCAAUUCUUGGUGUAACGAUUCAAUUCAGAAUCAGUUCUCGAUUCAAAAUGAUUCUCGGAUUAAAAUCAAUGCUUAUUUUUUAAUAACAUUGAGUGCUAGUUCUAUGAUGAACGACAUUCCUCCAUGAAAUAGAUAGACAGUCUGAUACAUUUCUAUAUUACUUAAAAUAAAACAGAUUUUGUUAAAUAAAAUUCUAAACAAACAUGUAAUAAAGUGGCUGGACAGGACAGACUAAAAAAUCAAUGUUUUUAUUUAUUUAUUUUUUAAUCGAUUAAAGAUCGCUACAAAUAAGAAUCGUGAUGCAUUCGAAAAUCGUUUUCUUUUUUUUUUUCAGUCUAAAACAGCACAUUUGUCAAUAUAAAAAGUAUUAAAUAAUUGCACAUUACUUACACAUUAAAAGUCUCCAAGACAGAAGUGUAUUAGAAAGUAUCCAGUAACAAAUGUGUCUGCAUCCUUUAACGUCUGCAUCAUGAGCUUUACUUGAUGAAUUAAUGUGGCCACGAGGUAUCACCAAAACAAAUUGCCACUCUACUUCAUUUUAAAGACGGCAUAAGUCCAUUACAAACGGUUGAUAAUAAAUUGGUUAGUGUUUUUCAUACGUACCAUAGUUUUGCUGAAUAACAUUCCACACUACAAAAUAACAAAAGUGUGUAUGAUUCGUGCUGAUAUGAUAUCGUGUCAAUAUCGUAUUGGACGAUACUUUACCAUUCAAGGUUCAAAUGUCUGGAAAAAGAUGUAUCUGGACACCCCUAAUUGGCCGUAACACAAUCAAAUAAAGUCAGAAAACACUAAUUAGCGACACAUAUGGCUCAUUGUUCUGUAUUAAAUAGAAGUAGGUUUCCUACACAAUGGAUCCAGCUUAUUAUAAAGCCCUCUUUGCAAAGUUGCCACUGUACUACUGUAAGCAUAUAAAGUAUUUAUAUCAACCAAUAUCAAGUUGCUAUUUCCUGUUGCAAGUAUGCACGAUUGUCAUAAAUGCAUUUAAUAAAUGUGAAUGUAGCAUGACCAAUGUUAGGGAAACACAGGCUCAUACUGUAUGCAUGUUUUCUUCCAAUACCCAUGUAUUUUUGUGACUGAAUAUGCUAUAUUCGGACCUAAUGUUCUCAUUUCAUAUCGCAUUCAGCUAAGUGUUAUUUCUCCAGCUGACUUUCUUUGUGGUUCAGAAUUUGCCGACCGUGAAAAUGUCUAUAUCAGGGGUCACCAAAGCGGUGCCCGCGGGCACCAGGUAGCCUAUAAGGACCAGAUGAGUAGCCCACUGGCCUGUUCUAAAAAUAGCUCAAAUAGCAGCACUUACCAGUGAGCGGCCUCUAUUUUUUAAAUUGUAUUUAUUUACUAGCUAGCUGGUCUCGCUUUGCUCAACAUUUUUAAUUCUAAGAGAGACAAAACUCAAAUAGAAUUUGAAAAUCCAAGAAAAUAUUUUAAAGACUUGGUCUUCACUUGUUUAAUUAAAUUCAUUUAUUUUUUUAACUUUGCGUCUUAUAACUUUCAGAAAGACAAUUUUAGAGAAAAAAUACAACCUUAAAAAUGAUUUUAGGAUUUUUAAACACAUACCGGUAUACCUUUUUACCUUAUAAAUUCCUUCCUCUUCUUUCCUGACAAUUUAAAUCAAUGUUCAAGUAUUUUUUAUUUUUUAUUGUAAAGAAUAAUAAAUACAUUUUAAUUUAAUUCUUCAUUUUAGCUUCUAUUUUUUUAAUGAAGAAUAUUUGUGAAAUAUUUUUUCAAACUUAUUAUGAUUAAAUUAAAAAAAAAACUAUUCUGGCAAAUCUAUAAAAUCUGUAGAAUCAAAUUGAAAUCUUAUUUCAAAGUAUUUUGAAUUUCUUUUAAAAUUGUUGCUCUUGAAAAUCUAGAAGAAAUAAUGAUUAUAAAGCUUGGUCUAAUUUGUUAUGUAUUCUAACAAAGUGCAGAUUGGAUUUUAACCUAUUUAAAACAUGUCAUCAAAAUUCUAAAAUUAAUCCUAAUCAGGAAAAAUUACUAACGAUGUUCCAUAAAUUAUUUUUUAAAAUUUUUCAGAAAGAUUCGAAUUAGCUAGUUUUUCUCAAUUUUUUGGUUGAAUUUUGAAUUUUAAAGAGUCGAAAUUGAAGAUAAACUAUGUUUCAAAAUUUAAUUUUCAUUUUUUUUUCGUGUUUUCUCCUCUUUUAAACCGUUAAAUUAAGUGUUUUUUCAUCAUUCAUUCUCUACAAAAAAACCUUCCAUAAAAGGAAAAAAAAUGUACGACGGAAUUAAAGACAGAAAUACCAAUUUUCUUUUAUCUAUAGAUUUAUUUAUUAAAGGUAAAUUGAGCAAAUUGGCUAUUUCUGGCAAUUUAUUUAAGUGUGUAUCAAACUGGUAGCCCUUCGCAUUAAUCAGUACCCAAGAAGUAGCUCUUGGUUUCAAAAAGGUUGGUGACCCCUGCUCUAUAUUGUGCCACUAAAAGAGACUUAGUACCUUUGGCGUUAAUAUCUCAGAAAACAUGCCUUUGGCCGAGGAAAUAUGUGUGUUGGAAGUGGUAAACAGCUUUUUGUGGCACGUUAUAUUAACCCGAUAAAUCCCUGUGUGAGGGUUCAGACAGGGAAGAUUUAGGUCUGUCGUUACCUGCAAACAGCCCUGUGUUUUGGAGACUAUAAAUAAUUUCCAUGAUCUCAAAUAACGAGAUUUGUAAGAGAGCUGAGCACUGUUAAGCCACACUAGAAUUGCAAACCACGUUUGUGGAGAAUACUGCUGUUAUACUGUGUUAUGUCCGACUCCAAGUAGAGCUGUGUAUUGCAGUGCAUGUACUAAGUGAUGUCGCUGCCUAUUAAAGACCGCACACUGAGAUCAUUCCGUUUGUUUGUGUCCGUGAAAUGCAUAAACUGAUAUCAAGUGUUUUAUUCUGGAUUUGAGAUGUGUUUGAGUUCACUCACAUACAAAGUGUCUCGGCAUGUACCCAAAUACAAAUUUCAUACCACUGUUAUUGUGACCAAAUUGAUCACAGGUAUCAUUAUUAUCAAGGUCUUAUUGAAUACACUCAAAAAUCAAUCAAUCAAUCAAUCAAUCAAUGUUUACUUAUACAGCCCUAAAUCACUAGUGUCUCAAAGGGCUGCACAAACCACUACGACAUCCUCGGUAGGCCCACAUAAGGGCAAGGAAAACUCACACCCAGUGGGACGUCGGUGACAAUAAUGACUAUGAGAACCUUGGAGAGGAGGAAAGCAAUGGAUGUCGAGCGGGUCUAACAUGAUACUGUGAAAGUUCAAUCCAUAAUGGAUCCAACACAGUCGCGAGAGUCCAGUCCAAAGUGGAUCCAACACAACAGCGAGAGUCCCGUUCACAGCGGAGCCAGCAGGAAACCAUCCCAAGCGGAGGCGGAUCAGCAGCGCAGAGAUGUCCCCAGCCGAUACACAGGCAAGCAGUACAUGGCCACCAGAUCGGACCGGACCCCCUCCACAAGGGAGAGUGGGACAUAGAAGAAAUAGAAAAGAAACGGCAGAUCAACUGGUCUAAAAAGGGAGUGUCUUUAAAGGCUAGAGUAUACAAAUGAGUUUUAAGGUGAGACUUAAAUGCUUCUACUGAGGUGGCAUCUCGAACUGUUACCGGGAGGGCAUUCCAGAGUACUGGAGCCCGAACGGAAAACGCUCUAUAGCCCGCAGACUUUUUUGGGGCUUUGGGAAUCACUAAUAAGUCGGAGUCCUUUGAACGCAGAUUUCUUGCCAGGACAUAUGGUACAAUACAAUCGGCAAGAUAGGAUGGAGCUAGACCGUGUAGUAUUUUAUACGUAAGUAGUAAAACCUUAAAGUCACAUCUUAAGUGCACAGGAAGCCAGUGCAGGUGAGCCAGUACAGGCGUAAUGUGAUCAAACUUUUUUGUUCUUGUCAAAAGUCUAGCAGCCGCAUUUUGUACCAACUGUAAUCUUUUAAUGCUAGACAUGGGGAGACCCGAAAAUAAUACGUUACAGUAGUUGAGGCGAGACGUAACAAACGCAUGGAUAAUGAUCUCAGCGUCUUUAGUGGACAGAAUGGAGCGAAUUUUAGCGAUAUUACGGAGAUGAAAGAAGGCCGUUUUUGGUAACACUUUUAAUGUGUGACUCAAAGGAGAGAGUUGGGUCGAAGAUAAUACCCAGAUUCUUUACCGUGUCGCCUUGUUUAAUUGUUUGGUUGUCAAAUGUUAGAGUUGUAUUAUUAAAUAGAGUUCGGUGUCUAGCAGGACCGAUAAUCAGCAUUUCCGUUUUUUGGGCGUUGAGUUACAAAAAGUUAGCGGACUUGACCAACUUUAGAUAGACUUAGAAAGCCCACUUUCAUGUUUUGUGUUUUUAUUAUGAGUUUUCUAACGGGUGUUGUGGCAUCCUAUUCUACUCAGCGGUCCUUGAAAGCACCGUAAUAACACCUCGGUCUCGUAUUCCUCUGAAAUGUAAAUGUAAAUGUGUUAUACUUUUAUAGCGCUUUUCUGCCUUUUUAAGGACCCGAAGCACUUUGACACUAUUUCCACAUUCACCCAUUCACACACACAUUCACACACUGAUGGCGGGUGAGUAUAAAUAUAACACUCUGUGCUAAGAUAACGUGCACAAUUGAAUAGCUUAGUUGCUCAGACAUAAAUGUGUUUAUAUAAAUUUAGAUUGUAUAUGUUGUUUCUUAAUGGGGAAAGACAUUAUUGUCUCAUGUAUUCAUGUUAACAUUUAAGCUAACGAGCUAGCAUCGAUCAGUCCAAGAGUUUAUCGAAGUAAAUGUUUUUUGAUCAAUUUGAUUCAAAACACUGUUAAUACUAACUAUCAGGAGUGUUACUGCGGUUAACAUUAUUACCGUUUAUAAUUACAUCCAUGUAUGUGUCGAAGUAAAUCUUCAGCGGAAAACUGAUGUCAAAGAGUCAAAAAGUUAUAGGUAACAAUAAAGACGAUUACCGGCAUCAUGAUAAACCGCGGUAAAAUUUUAGACGGUUUAAAAGUAAAAAAUGUUAAAUAAUUGUAUCUAAGUUAACACAAAACUUUGUGUUACAUUGACUUCAGCUCGCCCUGCGAGAGGACAUAAGCUGUCUUUGAUCCGACCAAGCAAAAGGCUUGUAAAACUCCACUGUGUAGGAUGGGGAGCGACAUGAAGGCGUCGGUUUCUUUGAUAUAUUGUAAUCCAAAGGAAGAUUUUGUCUUUACCCGCUAUCUACAAAGCGGAGAGGAGGAACUGUUUUACAACCUUUUCUUUGAACUGUUUUGUAAUCAAAGGCGAUGGCUGUUUACGACCCCCCUCCCAUAGAAACAGCUAUUACCACGUAAUCAGGGAAAGUCCAAAUAAAAGAGUUUGCGUACAAUCUUUCGUCAGAGCGUGGUGGAACUGUACAAAGAGUGAAGACCAGACAUUUCUCCUCAAUUGAGCUAAAUUGAAUUCUGUCUCUGUUUAAUUCCUUGUUUCUUGUCUUGUUUAAUAGAUGUCAUCAGUGUUUGAACCUGACACCAUGAUUGAUUGCUGCACAAACUCAGACAUUCUGCUUAUUUCAUUCUGGUAAUCGCUUCUAAGCUUAAAUGCUAACAUGAAUACAACAGACAUCACCUUCUUACCCCAUUACAAACGUCAUACCCCAAUCUAAACUUAUACAAACAAUGCUGUCUGAACAACUAAGCUAUUUAAAUAUGCACAAUGAACCAACAGGCUGUACUCUAUUGGCACAACAGGAAGUGACUUACUGACAGAUUUGGUAGCUCUGUAAAUUGGUCGGGACAAUCGUUGAGAAACACUUACCGUAUUUCCUUGAAUUGCCGCAGGGCAUAUAGUAUGUGCCUGCCUUGAAUUACUGCCGGGUCAAACUCGCUUCGCAAAAUAAUUAGCGCAUGCUUAGUAUUACCGCCUGGUCAAACUCGUGACGUCACGAGUGACACUUCCCCUGUCAUCAUUUUCAAAAUGUAGGAGGCUGAUUUCAAUACCGGUAAUUUGAAAUCACAUAAAGGGAAGAAGAUUAAGAGCUAUUCAGUAGGAUUUAAGGUCCAGGCUUACAUGACACUCAAUUUUUUACUGCAUGCCUUUGGUAAGUGCCGGAGUGAGAAGAGGUUUUAAAAUAAUUAGCGCAUGCUUACUUUUACCGCAUGCCUUUAGUAAGCGCAGGAGUGAGAAGAGGUUUUAAAUUAAUUAGCGCCCCAGCAGCAAUUCAAGGAAAUACCAUAUAUUUGACAAUUAAAACAGAAGAUGGUAAACAUAUUUGAACACUCAAAUCAAAAUAUUAUGGCUUGUAAGAAGUUGGAAAAUACUUAAUAUUCAUUCUGCCAAAGAGUGUGUUAAUAAUUGUUUUUAUUACAACUCGGUUCAACAAUUUUUUGUGGGUAUAAGUAAUUUUUGAGCACAUGCAUGAUAAUAAGGAUAACCGUGAUCCUAUUUUCACCACGAUAAUGAUAACUAUGAUCUUUUUUUUAAACAUGAUAAUAAUAACCAUGAUCAUGCUUUUUUUUUUACAGUUAUAUGACAUUUUUAUAUCGUUAAAUCCCUAAUUACACAUCACAAAUAACAUGGUAUUACUCCUAUUUUCCCAUUGUAGAGAUUGACAAACCUAUAGUAUGUUGCUGAAGGACACAAAACAAUGUUAAAAAUACAGUUGGAAUAUUUUUACUCUCUGAAGAGCUUCUUGCUGCUUCUUCAAUACACAAAUAUACCAUUUUUUUUUAAUAGAAUUUUGAGUUUUAUUUCUCUAAUUCUCCAGGAGCCUUAAACUAAACAUUCUCAAUCAUUGCUUGUCAUCAGCAACAACAACAACAACAACAAAGCUUUACUUUAGCUUAUCAGACUUCCUGAUUGAGAUCACUUUUCCUGUUGCACUGCUUUUCUGCCAGAUUCUAUACAGGACUAUUUCAAAAAGUAAAUAAAGAAGAAUACAGAAGAGGAAAACAAAUAUUGGGAGUGUUGAGUUCGGGAGUAAAAUAACACAAGUGGUGUCUUAAAGUCCAUGAUGGCAAAAAGAAAAAAAAGUAAUAAUAUUGUUAUAUGUAUCCAGUGAUUAUACUAUAAAGUUAUUUUCCAUUUAAGUUCACCAAUUUAAAAAAAUGUUUUUUUUCAAAAUCGCUUAAUUUUCACAUUUGCCGUUCAAAUACUGAGAAUUACUUGCCGUGAGUCACAGCCAACUGAGCCUUCCCGUCACCAUGGAUUACGCAAUGACUCGGCUAACUGCUGGCUGCUGUGCAGUGAGACCGUAUUGCUAUAUGAAUUAUAUUAUACAUUUCCAUAGUUUAGUCAGCUGAGGUAUAUAAUGUACAGUGUAUUUUGUCAACAACUGUAUGUGUGUAACGUAUUUCUUGUGCUGCGAAGACCCACUAUGUGAGGCACCUCUUCUCCGGCCUCCUGGUGGUAGAGGGCGCUAGUGAUCCCAGAGAUCACUCUUGCACUACUCGGCUAAGCCUGGGGACAUCUGAAGCCGGUGCCGAGCAUCAGGGCCGAGUUGCGACGAAAGAGUGUGUCGAUGUUGAGAUAUUAAACCGAGUUGACAUCAAACAAAAACACGUCAGGAAAAGCAAAGUCUCCCAGGACCGAGUCCAAAGCUUCUGCAAAUUCAUCAGGGUUCUUCUUGUCUCUGCCGGCCUCAACUAUGGUGGUAGCUGCAGAAAAGACGGGGAUGCACAGGUCUCGAUUUACGUUUUAGGGAGCGGACAGACAAAUUCUGCAAAUUUGUCUGAUGAAAAAUGGCUGACCAGCCUGAUAUUUGCUGGACGUCCACCUCAUAGAGCUUAUGGUUCAAAUCAUUUGCUGGUAAGUUUGAAUAGCACAAUCACGUUCAAGGCAAAAAUAUUGCAUUAUGGGAAGUGCAUGACCUUAUUUAUAAGUCAAUGCAUGAAACUAAUGUAGAAGAGUUUCCGGCUUAUCACGCGUUACUUAACACAGUAUUUUUGUUUGAGAGCUCUUGUGGAACUCCUCUAUCAUUACCAUCAUUGUACACCCCUGCAAACUUUAACCUCGCACACUUUUUUGCUAACGGCAGACAUUUUUAUGCAGCGCUUGCUUUAGUUUUUGUAACAUUAGGUUAUAGUCAAUAAGUGUACAGUACAUAUGUUUUAUUUAACAAUAAAUAACAGUUAUUGUGUUCUGAGUAGUGUUGUAACAAUAUCAAUAUUUUGGUACCGGUACUGAAAUUAUUUUGAGACGUUUCAGUACUUUUUUAAAUAAAGGAAACCACAAAAAAAUUGCAUU